AAAGCCUGAYGGAGCAACGCCGCGUGAGUGAUGAAGGUCUUCGGAUCGUAAAACUCUGGUUAUCAGGGAAGAACAAACGUGUAAGUAACUGUGCACGUCUUGACGGUACCUGAUCAGAAAGCCACGGCUAACUACGUGCCAGCAGCCGCGGUAAUACGUAGGUGGCAAGCGUUAUCCGGAAUUAUUGGGCGUAAAGCGCGCGUAGGCGGUUUUUUAAGUCUGAUGUGAAAGCCCACGGCUCAACCGUGGAGGGUCAUUGGAAACUGGAAAACUUGAGUGCAGAAGAGGAAAGUGGAAUUCCAUGUGUAGCGGUGAAAUGCGCAGAGAUAUGGAGGAACACCAGUGGCGAAGGCGACUUUCUGGUCUGUAACUGACGCUGAUGUGCGAAAGCGUGGGGAUCAAACAGGAUUAGAUACCCUGGUAGUCCACGCCGUAAACGAUGAGUGCUAAGUGUUAGGGGGUUUCCGCCCCUUAGUGCUGCAGCUAACGCAUUAAGCACUCCGCCUGGGGAGUACGACCGCAAGGUUGAAACUCAAAGGARUUGACGGGGACCCGCACAAGCGGUGGAGCAUGUGGUUUAAUURGAAGCAACGCGAAGAACCUUACCAAAUCUUGACAUCCUUUGACCGCUC
rnacentral:rRNA from 1 species